rnacentral:miRNA from 1 species
GUUGUCCUAUGUUCCGGCAGA